UACAGAGGUCCCAAGCGUUGUUCGGAUUCAUUGGGCGUAAAGGGUGCGUAGGCGGCGCGGUAAGUCGGGUGUGAAAUCUCGGAGCUUAACUCCGAAACUGCAUUCGAUACUGCCGUGCUUGAGGACUGGAGAGGAGACUGGAAUUUACGGUGUAACGGUGAAAUGCGUAGAUAUCGUAAGGAAGACCAGUGGCGAAGGCGGGUCUCUGGACAGUUCCUGACGCUGAGGCACGAAGGCCAGGGGAGCAAACGGG
rnacentral:rRNA from 1 species